CUACGGGUGGCAGCAGUGGGGAAUAUUGGACAAUGGGCGAAAGCCUGAUCCAGCCAUGCCGCGUGUGUGAAGAAGGCCUUCGGGUUGUAAAGCACUUUCAGUGGGGAAGAAAGCCUUGGGGCUAAUACCCUCGAGGAAGGACAUCACCCACAGAAGAAGCACCGGCUAACUCCGUGCCAGCAGCCGCGGUAAUACGGAGGGUGCGAGCGUUAAUCGGAAUUACUGGGCGUAAAGCGCGCGUAGGCGGUCUGAUAAGCCGGUUGUGAAAGCCCCGGGCUCAACCUGGGAACGGCAUCCGGAACUGUCAGGCUAGAGUGCAGGAGAGGAAGGUAGAAUUCCCGGGGUAGCGGUGAAAUGCGUAGAGAUCGGGAGGAAUACCAGUGGCGAAGGCGGCCUUCUGGACUGACACUGACGCUGAGGUGCGAAAGCGUGGGUAGCAAACAGGAUUAGAUACCCUUGUAGUC
rnacentral:rRNA from 1 species